rnacentral:tRNA from 1 species
GGUUAUGGCUCAGCAGUAGAGCGCUCGCCUCGCACAUGCAAGGCCCUGGGUUCGAAUCUCAGCACCA